GACGAACGCUGGCGGCGUGCCUAAUGCAUGCAAGUAGAACGCUGAAGGAGGAGCUUGCUCUUCUGGAUGAGUUGCGAACGGGUGAGUAACGCGUAGGUAACCUGCCUGGUAGCGGGGGAUAACUAUUGGAAACGAUAGCUAAUACCGCAUAAGAGUAGAUGUUGCAUGACAUUUACUUAAAAGGUGCAAUUGCAUCACUACCAGAUGGACCUGCGUUGUAUUAGCUAGUUGGUGGGGUAACGGCUUACCAAGGCGACGAUACAUAGCCGACCUGAGAGGGUGAUCGGCCACACUGGGACUGAGACACGGCCCAGACUCCUACGGGAGGCAGCAGUAGGGAAUCUUCGGCAAUGGACGGAAGUCUGACCGAGCAACGCCGCGUGAGUGAAGAAGGUUUUCGGAUCGUAAAGCUCUGUUGUAAGAGAAGAACGAGUGUGAGAGUGGAAAGUUCACACUGUGACGGUAUCUUACCAGAAAGGGACGGCUAACUACGUG
rnacentral:rRNA from 1 species